rnacentral:rRNA from 1 species
GACGAACGCUGGCGGCGUGCUUAACACAUGCUAGUCGAACGGAAAGGCCCUGCUUUUGUGGGGUGCUCGAGUGGCGAACGGGUGAGUAACACGUGAGUAACCUGCCCUUGACUUUGGGAUAACUUCAGGAAACUGGGGCUAAUACCGGAUAGGAGCUCCUGCUGCAUGGUGGGGGUUGGAAAGUUUCGGCGGUUGGGGAUGGACUCGCGGCUUAUCAGCUUGUUGGUGGGGUAGUGGCUUACCAAGGCUUUGACGGGUAGCCGGCCUGAGAGGGUGACCGGCCACAUUGGGACUGAGAUACGGCCCAGACUCCUACGGGAGGCAGCAGUGGGGAAUAUUGCACAAUGGGCGGAAGCCUGAUGCAGCAACGCCGCGUGCGGGAUGACGGCCUUCGGGUUGUAAACCGCUUUCGCCUGUGACGAAGCGUGAGUGACGGUAAUGGGUAAAGAAGCACCGGCGAACUACGU